UCGCUGAACUUAAGCAUAUCAAUAAGCGGAGGAAAAGAAACCAACAGGGAUUGCCUCAGUAACGGCGAGUGAAGCGGCAACAGCUCAAAUUUGAAAUCUGGCUCCCUUUCAGGAGUCCGAGUUGUAAUUUGCAGAGGGUGCUUCUGAGUAUGGUCCUAGCCUAAGUUCCUUGGAACAGGAUGUCAUAGAGGGUGAGAAUCCCGUAUGUGGCUUGGAGGCCUGCUCAAUGUGAAGCCCCUUCGACGAGUCGAGUUGUUUGGGAAUGCAGCUCAAAAUGGGUGGUAAGUUUCAUCUAAAGCUAAAUACUGGCGGGAGACCGAUAGCGCACAAGUAGAGUGAUCGAAAGAUGAAAAGCACUUUGGAAAGAGAGUUAAAAAGUACGUGAAAUUGUUGAAAGGGAAGCGCUUGCAACCAGACUUGCCCUCAGUUGAUCAACCGGUGAUCUUCACCGGGGUAUGCUGCUAAGGGCAGGCCAGCAUCAGUUUGGGCGGUUGGAAAAAGACCAUGGGAAUGUGGCUCUCUUCGGGGAGUGUUAUAGCCUGUGGUGUCAUACAGCCAGCCUGGACUGAGGACCGCGCCUUUUGUGCUAGGAUGCUGGCGUAAUGGUUGUAAGCGACCCGUCUUGAAACACGGACCAAGGAGUCUAACAUCUAUGCAAGUGUUUGGGUGUCAAACCCAUGCGCGUAAUGAAAGUGAAUGGAGGUGGGAACCCUUAAGGGUGCACCAUCGACCGAUCCUGAUGUCU
rnacentral:rRNA from 1 species